UACGUAGGGGGCUAGCGUUGUCCGGAAUCAUUGGGCGUAAAGCGCGCGUAGGCGGCCAGAUAAGUCCGGUGUGAAAGUCACAGGCUCAACCUGUGAAUGCCGCUGGAAACUGUCUGGCUCGAGUCCGGGAGGGGCGAGUGGAAUUCCUGGUGUAGCGGUGAAAUGCGCAGAUAUCAGGAGGAACACCAAUGGCGAAGGCAGCUCGCUGGAACGGUACUGACGCUGAGGCGCGGAAAGCGUGGGGAGCGAACAGG
rnacentral:rRNA from 1 species